UACGGAGGAUGCAAGCGUUAUCUGGAAUGAUUGGGCGUAAAGCGUCCGCAGGUGGCUGUGUAAGUCUGCUGUCAAAGAGCAAAGCUCAACUUUGUAAAGGCAGUGGAAACUACACGGCUAGAGUGCGUUCGGGGUAGAGGGAAUUCCUGGUGUAGCGGUGAAAUGCGUAGAGAUCAGGAAGAACACCGGUGGCGAAGGCGCUCUGCUAGGCCGCAACUGACACUGAGGGACGAAAGCUAGGGGAGCGAAUGGG
rnacentral:rRNA from 1 species